UACGUAGGUGGCAAGCGUUGUCCGGAAUUAUUGGGCGUAAAGCGCGCGCAGGCGGUCUUUUAAGUCUGAUGUGAAAGCCCCCGGCUCAACCGGGGAGGGUCAUUGGAAACUGGGAGACUUGAGUGCAGAAGAGAAGAGUGGAAUUCCACGGUGUAGCGGUGAAAUGCGUAGAGAUGUGGAGGAACACCCGUGGCGAAGGCGGCUCUCUGGGACGGUACUGACGCUGAGACGCGAAAGCGUGGGGAGCGAACAGG
rnacentral:rRNA from 1 species